CCUGUUAGAGAGAUAUUAACUCCUUUAAGAAAUCAGAUGAGAGAAUACAUUGAAAGGCAACUGAAAAUGAGGCAUCCUGAUUUAGUUCAGUGGUUUAGAAUCAGUGAAAUUCCACGUUUGGCAGGGUAUUUCAUUCCUCUUCUAAAGAAGUGGUCCAUGGAAUAUGCAGGAAGCGGUGUUGCAGGAAUUAUUGUGGCAAUAACCUGCUGCACUGCAGUGGUGAAAUUGGGUUCUGG